AAGUUUUUAGGUUGUUGCAAGAGUAAUUGUGGUUUUUGCCAUUAAAAGCAAUGGCAAAAAUCGCAAUUACUCUUGCACCAACCUAAU
ensembl:miRNA